GGGGCGUUAGCUCAGUUGGUAGAGCAGCAGCCUUUUAAGCUGAUGGUCGUGGGUUCGAUCCCCGCACGCCCCACCA
rnacentral:tRNA from 3 species